AGGCUUGAUAGUCAAUGUGAUGAUUUUGGACUGCAAAUCUUAAGGAAAGUAAUUUUUUAAGCCUA
rnacentral:tRNA from 1 species